UCUAACGUGGCAGAUAAGUGCGUUGGAUUUAAGCUCCAAAAAUAAAGUUUUUAAACCUUUCAUUAGAA
rnacentral:tRNA from 1 species